GGUUUCACUACGUAGCCUGGCUGCCCUCAACCUUCUGGGGAUCCUCCCGCCUCAGCCUCCCAAGUGCUGGGAUUUCAGGUGUGCUCCACUGUGCCUUGCACUUGGUGGUUUUAUUGUAUUCACAAAGUGGUGCACGCAGCACCAUUGUCUGCUUUGGAGGCCGGGUCCGCCCUCUGGCAGGCUGUUGCCACCCCUACCCCUUUCCGGCUUGGUGUUCUCUGCGUGGCUUUGCCUGAGUGUCUGUGCCGGCUCCUUUCACCUCCACUGUGUGUGUGGACUGAGUCGUUCUGUCCACCCACCGCGGAGCAGAGGGCGUGGAACCCUGGCGUGUGAGGAGUCUGUCCGAGAGCUGCUGUGAUUUCUACCCUGCUUUCCUCUGGCAGGAAGGGGCGGCGAAGGAGCCUGGACUUUCUUCCAUCUGCAGGCGCUUGAAUUAGGUCUCAAGCAAGUGCACACAACUGCAGCCCAAAGAGUGCUGUUGAGCGCUUCUGCCUGGAGAAAGAGGUCCCUGUGCGGGUGCAGUGGGGUGUGCGGCCCUCCCGGGCCCAGGCUUCUGUUGGCCUGGCCCUUGGCAAUGGCUUGGUUCUCUUGCUUACUCUGGGGAGCACAAGCAGCAUGGUCGUUACCCAGGCAUCUGGCAGCAGGAAGUGGGGAAGGGGAAGCAGGAACCGGAAGCAGGAACAGGAAGUAGGAGGGGGAAGCGGGGACCAGAGGCAGGAAGCAGGAGCGGGAAGCGGGAAGCCGGAAGGGCUCCCUGCCUGGCUGCCUGGGCUCCCACAGGGCCGUCCCAGUUGAUGUCCUCUUCAGUCUUGUGGUGCUCCUGGCAUCAAAGCCUUUCUGAGGAUACAGGGAUGCACCUUUUGUCCGUAGGUGGUGUACUGGAAGUUAUUCGGUAACAGGGUCAGGGUGACAGUGCCCACAGGCAGCUGGGGUGCCUUUUCUCUGAAAGCGGCAGCCGUGUCUUCAUGGGAACUGAACAUAAUGCUUGUGAGCUCUUCAGGAGGCAGCACACCCUCCUUUCCUUCGGAAGUCCCCACCGUCCAAUGGACUGUCCGGGGCCGGCUCUGACCCCAGCCCUACGCUGCCGAGAAAUCGGGAAGUGGGCACCUUGUUUCCCGCUUCCCACUUCACUGCCCAGCCCUCCGUCUAGGUUCUUUGUCACCGGGCUCCCCAGGAGGGAGCAGCAGAUGCAGCAAUACGGAGUGAACUGCUGAGAAACACC
rnacentral:lncRNA from 1 species